AACGCUAGCUACAGGCUUAACACAUGCAAGUCGAGGGGCAGCAUGGUCUUAGCUUGCUAAGGCCGAUGGCGACCGGCGCACGGGUGAGUAACGCGUAUCCAACCUGCCUUACACUCUUGGACAGCCUUCUGAAAGGGAGAUUAAUACAAGAUGUUAUCAUGAGUAAGCAUUUUCACAUGAUUAAAGGUUUACCGGUGUAAGAUGGGGAUGCGUUCCAUUAGAUAGUAGGCGGGGUAACGGCCCACCUAGUCUUCGAUGGAUAGGGGUUCUGAGAGGAAGGUCCCCCACAUUGGAACUGAGACACGGUCCAAACUCCUACGGGAGGCAGCAGUGAGGAAUAUUGGUCAAUGGACGAGAGUCUGAACCAGCCAAGUAGCGUGAAGGAUGAAGGUUCUAUGGAUUGUAAACUUCUUUUAUACGGGAAUAAACGAAUCCACGUGUGGAUUUUUGCAUGUACCGUAUGAAUAAGGAUCGGCUAACUCCGUGCCAGCAGCCGCGGUAAUACGGAGGAUCCGAGCGUUAUCCGGAUUUAUUGGGUUUAAAGGGAGCGUAGAUGGGUUGUUAAGUCAGUUGUGAAAGUUUGCGGGUCAACCGUAAAAUUGCAAUUGAUACUGGCAGUCUUGAGUACAGUUGAGGUAGGCGGAAUUCGUGGUGUAGCGGUGAAAUGCUUAGAUAUCACGAAGAACUCCGAUUG
rnacentral:rRNA from 1 species